UACGUAGGGUGCAAGCGUUGUUCGGCAUUACUGGGCGUAAAGCGCGUGUAGGCGGCCAAACGGGUCAGGUGUGAAAGCCCUCGGCUUAACCGGGGCAGUGCGCCUGAAACUAUUUGGCUAGAGUGCAGGAGAGGAGGACGGAAUUCCCAGUGUAGAGGUGAAAUUCGUAGAUAUUGGGAGGAACACCGGUGGCGAAAGCGGUUCUCUGGACUGCAACUGACGCUGAGACGCGAAAGCGUGGGGAUCAAACAGG
rnacentral:rRNA from 1 species